rnacentral:tRNA from 1 species
GAGGUUAUAGCUCAGUGGUAGAGCGUGUGCUUAGCAUGCGCAAGGUCCUGGGUUCAAUCGCCAGAACCUCC